AUUGAACGCUGGCGGCAAGCUUAACACAUGCAAGUCGAGCGGGGGAAGGUAGCUUGCUACCGGACCUAGCGGCGGACGGGUGAGUAAUGCUUAGGAAUCUGCCUAUUAGUGGGGGACAACAUCUCGAAAGGGAUGCUAAUACCGCAUACGUCCUACGGGAGAAAGCAGGGGAUCUUCGGACCUUGCGCUAAUAGAUGAGCCUAAGUCGGAUUAGCUAGUUGGUGGGGUAAAGGCCUACCAAGGCGACGAUCUGUAGCGGGUCUGAGAGGAUGAGCCGCCACACUGGGACUGAGACACGGCCCAGACUCCCACGGGAGGCAGCAGUGGGGAAUAUUGGACAAUGGGGGGAACCCUGAUCCAGCCAUGCCGCGUGUGUGAAGAAAGCCUUAUGGUUGUAAAGCACUUUAAGCGAGGAGGAGGCUACUUUAGUUAAUACCUAGAGAUAGUGGACGUUACUCGCAGAAUAAGCACCGGCUAACUCUGUGCCAGCCGCCGCCGUAA
rnacentral:rRNA from 1 species